rnacentral:rRNA from 1 species
CCUACGGGUGGCUGCAGUGGGGAAUUUUGCGCAAUGGGCGAAAGCCUGACGCAGCAACGCCGCGUGGAGGAUGAAGGUGCUCUGCAUUGUAAACUCCUGUCGGCCGGGAAGAAUCGGCGGGGUGCUAAUCAGCCCCGUCUUGACUGUACCGGCAAAGGAAGCCCCGGCUAACUCCGUGCCAGCAGCCGCGGUAAUACGGAGGGGGCAAGCGUUACUCGGAAUUAUGUAGCGGGUAGGGCGCGUCGGCGGUGAAAUACCCGGGCUUAACACGGGAACUGCCUCUGAUACGGCGGGACUUGAGUCCGGGAGAGGGGAGCAGAAUUCCCAGUGUAGCGGUGAAAUGCGUAGAUAUUGGGAGGAAUACCAGUGGCGAAGGCGGCUCCCUGGACCGGUACUGACGCUGAGGCGCGAAAGCGUGGGUAGCAAACAGGAUUAGAUACCCUUGUAGUC